rnacentral:rRNA from 1 species
UGGGGAAUAUUGCGCAAUGGGCGGAAGCCUGACGCAGCGACGCCGCGUGAGGGAUGACGGCCUUCGGGUUGUAAACCUCUUUCAGCAGGGAAGAAGCGCGAGUGACGGUACCUGCAGAAGAAGCACCGGCUAACUACGUGCCAGCAGCCGCGGUAAUACGUAGGGUGCAAGCGUUGUCCGGAAUUAUUGGGCGUAAAGAGCUCGUAGGCGGCUUGUCACGUCGGAUGUGAAAGCCCGGGGCUCAACCCCGGGCCUGCAUUCGAUACGGGCAGGCUGGAGUUCGGCAGGGGAGACUGGAAUUCCUGGUGUAGCGGUGAAAUGCGCAGAUAUCAGGAGGAACACCGGUGGCGAAGGCGGGUCUCUGGGCCGAUACUGACGCUGAGGAGCGAAAGCGUGGGGAGCGAACAGG